rnacentral:rRNA from 1 species
CCUACGGGAGGCAGCAGUGGGGAAUAUUGCACAAUGGGGGAAACCCUGAUGCAGCGACGCCGCGUGAGUGAAGAAGUAUUUCGGUAUGUAAAGCUCUAUCAGCAGGGAAGAAAAUGACGGUACCUGAUUAAGAAGCCCCGGCUAACUACGUGCCAGCAGCCGCGGUAAUACGUAGGGGGCAAGCGUUAUCCGGAUUUACUGGGUGUAAAGGGAGCGUAGACGGCAGCACAAGUCUGGAGUGAAAUGCCGGGGCUUAACCCCGGAACUGCUUUGGAAACUGUGCAGCUAGAGUGCAGGAGUGGUAAGUGGAAUUCCUAGUGUAGCGGUGAAAUGCGUAGAUAUUAGGAGGAACACCAGUGGCGAAGGCGGCUUACUGGACUGUAACUGACGUUGAGGCUCGAAAGCGUGGGGAGCGAACAGGAUUAGAUACCCCGGUAGUC